ensembl:snRNA U6 U6 spliceosomal RNA
GUGCUUGCUUCAGCAGCACGUACACUAAAAUUGGAAUGACACAGAGAAGAUUAGCACGGGCCCUGCAUGAGGAUGAUGUGCAAAUUCGUGAAGUGUUCCAUAUUUUU